rnacentral:rRNA from 1 species
AUUGAACGCUGGCGGCAGGCCUAACACAUGCAAGUCGAGCGAGCGGCGGACGGGUGAGUAAUGCAUGGGGACUGCCCGAUAGAGGGGGAUAACUACGGGAAACGGUGGCUAAUACCGCAUACUAUCGGAUAACCCAUAUGGGAUUAGCUAGUAGGUGGGGUAAAGGCUCACCAAGGCGACGAUCUCUAGCUGGUCUGAGAGGAUGACCAGCCACACUGGGACUGAGACACGGCCCAGACUCCUACGGAGGCAGCAGUGGGGAAUAUUGCGCAAUGGGGGCAAGCCUGAUGCAGCCAUGCCGCGUGUAUGAAGUAGGCCUUAGGGUUGUAAAGUACUUUCAGCAGGGAGGCGUUACCCGCAGAAGAAGCACCGGCUAACUCCGUGCCAGCAGCCGCGGUAAUAC